UACAGAGGCCUCGAGCGUUAGGCGGAAUUACUGGGCGUAAAGCGCACGUAGGCGGAUUUGUAAGUCAGGGGUGAAAUCCCGAGGCUCAACCUCGGAACUGCCUUUGAUACUGCAAAUCUCGAGUCCGGAAGAGGUGAGUGGAAUUCCUAGUGUAGAGGUGAAAUUCGUAGAUAUUAGGAAGAACACCGGUGGCGAAGGCGGCUCACUGGUCCGGUACUGACGCUGAGGUGCGAAAGCGUGGGGAGCAAACAGG
rnacentral:rRNA from 1 species